rnacentral:rRNA from 1 species
GACAGAGGGUGCAAACGUGGCUCGGAAUCACUGGGCAUAAAGGGCGUGUAGGCGGGAAGGGAAGUCAGAUGUGAAAUCCCCAGGCUCAACCUGGGAACUGCAUUUGAAACUCCCUUUCUUGAGUACCGGAGAGGAAAGUGGAAUUCCUGGUGUAGAGGUGAAAUUCGUAGAUAUCAGGAGGAACACCAGUGGCGAAGGCGGCUUUCUGGACGGUAACUGACGCUGAGACGCGAAAGCGUGGGGAGCAAACAGG